rnacentral:rRNA from 1 species
CCUACGGGCGGCUGCAGUGGGGAAUAUUGGACAAUGGGCGAAAGCCUGAUCCAGCCAUGCCGCGUGUGUGAAGAAGGCCUUCGGGUUGUAAAGCACUUUCAGUGGGGAAGAAAGCCUUGGGGCUAAUACCCUCGAGGAAGGACAUCACCCACAGAAGAAGCACCGGCUAACUCCGUGCCAGCAGCCGCGGUAAUACGGAGGGUGCGAGCGUUAAUCGGAAUUACUGGGCGUAAAGCGCGCGUAGGCGGUCUGAUAAGCCGGUUGUGAAAGCCCCGGGCUCAACCUGGGAACGGCAUCCGGAGCUGUCAGGCUAGAGUGCAGGAGAGGAAGGUAGAAUCCCCGGUGUAGCGGUGAAAUGCGUAGAGAUCGGGAGGAAUACCAGUGGCGAAGGCGGCCUUCUGGACUGACACUGACGCUGAGGUGCGAAAGCGUGGGUAGCAAACAGGAUUAGCUACCCGAGUAGUC